rnacentral:rRNA from 1 species
CCUACGGGCGGCAGCAGUGAGGAAUAUUGGUCAAUGGACGCAAGUCUGAACCAGCCAUGCCGCGUGCAGGAUGACGGCUCUAUGAGUUGUAAACUGCUUUUGUACGAGGGUAAACCCCGAUACGUGUAUCGUGUUGAAAGUAUCGUACGAAUAAGGAUCGGCUAACUCCGUGCCAGCAGCCGCGGUACUACGGAGGAUCCGAGCGUUAUCCGGAUUUAUUGGGUUUAAAGGGUGCGUAGGCGGUUUGAUAAGUUAGAGGUGAAAUGUCGGGGCUCAACCCCGAAACUGCCUCUAAUACUGUUGGACUAGAGAAUAGUUGCGGUAGGCGGAAUGUAUGGUGUAGCGGUGAAAUGCUUAGAGAUCAUACAGAACACCGAUUGCGAAGGCAGCUUACCAAACUAUAUCUGACGUUGAGGCACGAAAGCGUGGGUAGCAAACAGGAUUAGAUACCCCAGUAGUC